GCAUAUCAAUAAGCGGAGGAAAAGAAACUAACAAGGAUUCCCCUAGUAACGGCGAGUGAAGAGGGAAGAGCCCAAGAUUGAAAGCUGGCGCCUUCGGCGUCCGCAUUGUAAUCUCAAGAAGUGUUUUCCGCUUCGGACCAUGCCUAAGUCCCUUGGAAAAGGGCAUCAUAGAGGGUGAUAAUCCCGUACAUGGCAUGGAGCGCCCGAAGCUUUGUGAUACGCUUUCUAAGAGUCGAGUUGUUUGGGAAUGCAGCUCAAAAUGGGUGGUAAAUGCCAUCUAAGGCUAAAUAUUGGGGAGAGACCGAUAGCGAACAAGUACAGUGAUGGAAAGAUGAAAAGAACUUUGAAAAGAGAGUUAAACAGUACGUGAAAUUGCCAAAAGGGAAGGGUAGGAGGUCAGAGAUGCGUUCUAGGAUUCAGCCUUGCUUUUGCAUGGUGUUUUUUCUAGUUUGCAGGCCAACGUCGGUUUUGGGCACUGGAGAAGGGUGGAAGGAAUGUGGCACCUCUCGGGGUGUGUUAUAGCCUUCUACUGGAUACAGCGACCGAGACCGAGGACAGCAGCGUACUCGCAAGAGCGGGCCUUCGGGCACCUUUACGCUUAGGGCGUUGGCAUAAUGGCCCUCUACCACC
rnacentral:rRNA from 1 species